UACGUAGGGGGCAAGCGUUGUCCGGAAUUAUUGGGCGUAAAGAGCGCGUAGGCGGUCCGAUAAGUCGGCUGUGAAAGUCAUGGGCUCAACCCAUGAAAGCCGGCCGAUACUGUCGGACUAGAGUCCGGAAGAGGCGAGUGGAAUUCCCGGUGUAGCGGUGAAAUGCGCAGAUAUCGGGAGGAACACCAGUAGCGAAGGCGGCACUCUGGGCCGGUACUGACGCUGAGGAGCGAAAGCGUGGGGAGCGAACAGG
rnacentral:rRNA from 1 species